AUUCCCUUUACAUACAUUUCCUCCUUCACUCAUAACCCAACAACGGCUGGAAUUAUUUUUUUAUCAUUAUAAAAACAUUUUGUAUAUGCUUGGUUGGUAGUUUAUCAUACUUCCAUGUAGUCGUAAUAAACAAACUACAUCAAACAUGCUCAGUUGUCCUGAGUCUGCACAACACUGCCAGGACCUAGGAUCAAGGGAGACUCCUUGCUGUCCCCAGUCCACCUGCUGCUGCUCCAGUUUCAACUGUUCUUCCUGCGGCUAUGGAACCCUGACCUGUUCACUGGAUGUGCUACCCUUGUCCUGGAACUGCUGUUUUUGACUCUCUCUCUACUGCACCUCUCUCUACUGCACCUCUCUCUACUGCCUACCUCCUCAUGCCUUUUGCACACAAUGUAUAUAGAUUCUUUUUUUUAUACUAUGUUAUUGACUUGUUUAUUGUUUACUCCAUGUGUAACUCUGUGUUGUUGUCUAUUCACACUGCUAUGCUUUAUCUUGGUCAGGUCGCAGUUGCAAAUGAGAACUUGUUCUCAACUAGCGUACCUGGUUAAAUAAAGGUGAAAUAAAAAAGUGCAUGAGCGUGA